rnacentral:tRNA from 1 species
AGAAGCUAUAGUAGCAGUAACCUUUUAAGUUAAAGACCGAGAUAUCCUUUCUCCUUUAUG